rnacentral:lncRNA from 1 species
UAGGAUCAUCACGAGGAUGGUGAUUGAUUAGAUAGGUUAGUAUACGGAUCGCUUCCUUAUGGGUAGAUGAGUCUCGAAUCUAUACUAUGGAGACACUGAGUGAGAGUGCAGGUGCUUGUUAGAGAAUAAAGAUAUCGAGCAUGACCAACAUAAGUAAUCACUUGGAUAUUUAGCUUCUCAUCGUGACAUAUUCGAUGCUGCAGUAGUAUCAAUGG